UGCCGCCAUAUAACGUUGAAACAACUGUUCUCGUAAGAUCACCGAAGUUAAGCAACGUUGAGCCCGGUUAGUGCAUCGAUGGGUUAACCAUUGGGAAAUCAGGUAC